AAAUUCUAUACAAAAACUUUUACGAGUACGACAUCUCGUUUUUUUAUUGAAUGGUGUGCGUGGAUUUAGACAAUCACGAUCAGUUUUACAUGGAAUUGCAGCUGUAAUGUAAAAAGAAAAAAAAAGUUAUUAAAAUGGAAUAAAUAUUGUGAAAGAAGGAAAUUUGUAAUGGAGAUAACAACAGUUUACAACGUGCAAUUUUUGUUGAAUCAAGAAACAAGGAAAUAAUGAUUAUCAUAAUAUUAACAAACUUAAAAAUUUUGUCCAUAUUUUCCAAUUUUUGCAUGUAUUAAAUAUAGUAUUAUUUUAUCACUUUUUGAUUCAUAAAUUAAAGCUCAUAUUCUUCGUACAUCAACUAAAUAGUUUUUAGUACUUACAUAGUUGUAAAAAGACUUCUAAUUUUUAAAUAAUUAUUAAAUGUCUCUUAAGCACAACAAUGUGUUAAUUUGCUCCUUUAGCACCUUAUGUAAAGAGGUCAAGUAAAAAUUUACAAAUCAAAAUAAUUCAUUCUUAAAUUUUUAACAUAAUUUUCACUAUUUUAUAACCUUUCAUGAUAGAGAAGAAAAAAUCACAAAAUAAAAAUAAUAUUGUUUGUGAUACCCUAAACUCCAUAGAUAUAAUUGAAGGUGCAUGAGAUACACAACAAAAUACUUAAGAGAUGCAUAUUAGUUAAUAUACAUUGUUCUUUAUCAAAAUACUUAACUGAAGUUAAUAUUGAAGAUGAAGAUAAACCAUAAAUAAACACGACUUAAUUGACUAAAGGAGAAGGAUCUUUUGACACUAUUCAAAUCAUUGCUUUCAAUGACUUAUAUACUGUUGUGAUUCUAUGAAUUUAAUCUCUUGGUGCUUCUUUUGUCUUUGACUAAGUUGACUUACAAAUAAGUUUUUAAGUUGAAGUACUAGAGAGAUCAUGAAGCAUGAACAACAGAAUGUCCUUGGAACAUGAUUAAUAAGCUUUUGCUCCUGUCUAAUUAAAAUACUCAAGAGUAUUUUCUCCGCUCCAAAUUAUAAGGGAAAAAACAAAAAUUACACUUUUUAAAAAAAAUCACAAUUAUACAAAAACUUUUUAAUUGAUGUUUUAAAGAUAAUUAUCUUUAAAACAUCUUAAUUAUCUUUAACACAUCAAAUUGAUAUUUUGCUUCAACAAUCUCCCUUUUUUUAUGAUAAAAUUAAAAAGUUUUAUAUUGUAUUAUACUUUGCUGAUUAAUGUAAUUUUCUCUACCAUUUAAUUUUAUAUCUUCUUUUCACAAAUUCUCA
rnacentral:lncRNA from 1 species